UACAGAGGGGGCAAGCGUUAUUCGGAAUUAUUGGGCGUAAAGGGCGCGUAGGCGGCAUGGCAAGUGGAUGGUGAAAUCCCUCGGCUUAACCGGGGAACUGCCGUCCAAACUGCUUCGCUUGAGACCGGGAGAGGUGAGUGGAAUUCCCAGUGUAGCGGUGAAAUGCGUAGAUAUUGGGAGGAACACCAAUGGCGAAGGCAGCUCGCUGGGACGUGACUGACGCUGAGACGCGAAAGCGUGGGGAGCAAACAGG
rnacentral:rRNA from 1 species